AUCAAAAAACCUGUUCCCUCUGGGGCUUCACCAGAUGAUGAGCCGUCAGCUUCGAGUGAGAAACUCCCUUCUUCAGAUGAUGUAAUUGCUGAAACAAAACUAGCAGAGUGUGGAUCAAGUUCAUAGUCACAGACACCCCUCUUAUUUAAUAAGUCUCAUCUGCAGUUGUAAAUGAUUGUUUUUGAGCUACAAGGAUUAAAAAGAAAAAUUUAUAGCUUUUACUGCUGCUGGUUGUUGUAUAUGUUGUUUUGUGUUGUACUAUAUAACUCUUUGGAUGACUUGACCAGAUGUUCUUGACAUGAAA
rnacentral:misc_RNA from 1 species